rnacentral:rRNA from 1 species
CCUACGGGAGGCAGCAGUAGGGAAUCUUCCACAAUGGACGAAAGUCUGAUGGAGCAACGCCGCGUGAGUGAUGAAGGUUUUCGGAUCGUAAAACUCUGUUGUAAGGGAAGAACAAGUACGAGAGGGAAUGCUCGUACCUUGACGGUACCUUGCGAGAAAGCCACGGCUAACUACGUGCCAGCAGCCGCGGUAAUACGUAGGUGGCAAGCGUUGUCCGGAAUUAUUGGGCGUAAAGCGCGCGCAGGCGGCCUUUUAAGUCUGAUGUGAAAGCCCCCGGCUCAACCGGGGAGGGUCAUUGGAAACUGGAAGGCUUGAGUACAGAAGAGAAGAGUGGAAUUCCAUGUGUAGCGGUGAAAUGCGUAGAGAUGUGGAGGAACACCAGUGGCGAAGGCGACUCUUUGGUCUGUAACUGACGCUGAGGCGCGAAAGCGUGGGGAGCAAACAGGAUUAGAUACCCUGGUAGUCCACGCCGUAAACGAUGAGUGCUAGGUGUUGGGGGUUUCCGCCCCUCAGUGCUGAAGCUAACGCAUUAAGCACUCCGCCUGGGGAGUACGGCCGCAAGGCUUGAAACUCAAAUUGAAUUGACGG